AUUGAACGCUGGCGGCAGGCCUAACACAUGCAAGUCGAGCGGAGCGGCGGACGGGUGAGUAAUGCCUAGGAAUCUGCCUGGUAGUGGGGGAUAACGUCCGGAAACGGGCGCUAAUACCGCAUACUAUCAGAUGAGCCUAGGUCGGAUUGGCUAGUUGGUGGGGAAAAGGCCUACCAGGGCGACGAUCCGUAACUGGUCGGAGAGGAUGAUCAGUCACCCUGGAACUGAGACACGGUCCAGACUCCGACGGGAGGCAGCAGUGGGGAAUGUUGGACAAUGGGCGAAAGCCUGAUCCAGCCAUGCCGCGUGGGUGAAGAAGGUCUUCGGAUUGUAAAGCACUUUAAGUUGGGAGACGUUAACAACAGAAUAAGCACCGGCGAACUUCGUGCGAGCAGCCGCGUAAUUC
rnacentral:rRNA from 1 species